rnacentral:rRNA from 1 species
GACGAACGCUGGCGGCGCGCUUAACACAUGCAAGUCGAGCGAAGCGGCGGACGGGUGAGUAACACGUGAGUAACCUGCCUUAGACAUUGGGAUAGCCUCGGGAAACCGGGAUUAAUACCAAAUGGUCUAAGAUGGACUCGCGUCCCAUUAGCUAGUUGGUGAGGUAACGGCCCACCAAGGCGACGAUGGGUAGCCGGCAUGAGCGAGUGAACGGCAACAUUGGAACUGAGAAACGGUCCAAACUCUACGGGAGGCAGCAGUGGGGAAGAUGGCACAAUGGAGGUAACGCUGAUGCAGCGAAGCCGCGUGAACGAAGAAGGCUGUCGAGUCGUAAAUUUCUUUUAUAUGGGAAGCGGUACCAAAAGAAAAAGCCCCGGCUAACUACGUGCCAGCAGCCGCGGUAAUUC